AAACUUGGCUAAAAUUACCUCAGAUCUGGCAAAUUGGACACAUCUUCCUACUUCUUUCCAUGCAAGAAUAUCUGUUGUCAAAAUGAACAUCCUUUCUCGUGUUAAUUUCUAUUCUUCUAUGAUUCCUCUACCCCGACCUGCUGGCUAUUGGAAAAAACUUGAUUCAGUAAUCUCUCAAUAUAUUUGGAAUGGUAAACGCCCCCGAAUUAAAUUAUCUACUCUACAGCGUAACAGGUCAGAUGGUGGCUGGUCAUUUCCAAAUUUUAAAUUAUAUGCUGAUUCCUUUACUCUUCGUGCACUAUCAGCCUGGUUUAAACCAAAUGUGUCAACCUCAUGGUGGGCUAUUGAAGAAUCUCUUGUUUCUCCACACAGUAUAGAACAUUUGGUUUUUGCUGGUGUCUCACUCAGACAAUGUAAACUUCAUUUUGGCCCUAUCAUAACACAUUUUAUCUCUACUUGGAGAAUGGUGACCAGGAAGAUAGAGCCAAACUUGAGGUGGCAUCGUCACUCACCCUUGUUUCAUAAUAAUAAUUUUUUAUCAGGCAAAAACCCAUUUUACUGUCCACAAUGGAUUAAAUGUAAAGUAAUUUCCUUUGGUGACAUUUUUGACGACAAAGGUCUGAAAUCAUUUCAAGAUAUUAAGACUCUCUUUAAUCUACCGGGUACCUCCUUUUUCAUGUAUCUUCGCAUUAGGUCGGCACUUCGCGCGUAUGGAGUUCCCUGGGAUGCACAAUUGCCUGUACAUCCCCUGCGAAAAGUUAUUCUCCCCACUGAUAAUUCUAUUAUUUCUGCUUCAGUUAUUUACUCUUUUCUCCUCAAACAAACAUAUAAACCAUUAUCCAUAACAACUAUCUGGUCUAAGGACAUCAGUGGUGACUUACAAACUUUAUUUUCUGAUCAAAUCUGGGAGACGAUCAUAUCAUCCUCAAAAAAUCCAAAUCAUCAGAUGAUCCAUUGGAAAUUAUUACACAGACUCUAUCUGUCCCCUUUAAAACGUUUCUAUAUGCAUGUGUCACCUUCCCCAAAUUGCAAUUUAUGUCCACAAGGGGUAUUCGGUACAUAUUUACAUUUUUUUGGGGAAUGCUCUGCACUUUCUUCUUUCCGGUCUCUGCUUGCUCAUGAUAUAGCAUUCCUAUUAGAAAAGCAUGUGGUUUUGACUCCAGAUCUUUUCUUUUUAAAUAAUUUUUCAACAUUGUCACUGUCUCCGCAACAGAGAAACUUACUUUUAGCUGCUCUUACUGCUGCAAAAAAAAUGUUAGUUAGUCGCUGGGUUCCUCCCCAUUCAAUGACCAGACAUGUAUGGGGCUUAUCUUUGCUUGACAUUGUUUCUAUGGAACUAUCUACAGCUCAUAUUCAUGGAGCAACGACAAAAACUUUGAAAACCUGGAGUGUUAUCUUUGACAUUGUUAAAUCUUUUGUAUCUUCUUUUUGAUGUAUAAUUUGAUGUAUAAUUUAUUUAUUUAUUUAUUUAUAUUUUAAUUUUUUGUGCUUGAGUUAGUUAUCUAUUUAUUUAUUUAUUUAUUUAUAUUUUAAUUUUUUGUGCUUGAGUAUUGCACUUUGAACUUUUCGCCACUGCAGUGUCUUGUUUCUUUCGGCACAGUGUGGGUCUGCCUGGUGGGUUGGUGGGUGGGGGGUAUGGCCUCAGUCUAGAUUGGUGUCUCAUAUUUUGUAAUGUACUGAAAUGUCUGCUUGAUAAAAACAAUUGUUCACAAAAAAAAAACAAAUGCAUAGAUUGUAUAUAUAAUACCACAUUUCAUUGUACUGUUUAAUUACCUCCUGACAGUACUGAUAGUCUUUGUUGUCCAUGUCUUCCAAGCCAUUGUUUCUGCUAUAUUCUCUUUUGUCAUGGUUUCUUCUUUCUUUCGGAUAAAAUAAUUGCACAGACCAAUUGAAGGGCCAGUUGAUCAUCCAUGCUAGAAGUUAUGGCCUAUAAUCGCUGUAAUUUCUUACAAGAAUUUA
ensembl:lncRNA